AGCAUCUCUAAUGCAAGGUUCUUAGUUCUUAUUUUUUAGUUAAGAACUAAGAACUUUACCAUUGGAGGUGCU
rnacentral:pre_miRNA from 1 species